rnacentral:rRNA from 1 species
CGAUGGAGGGGGAUAACUACUGGAAACGGUAGCUAAUACCGCAUAACGUCGCAAGACCAAAGAGGGGGACCUUCGGGCCUCUUGCCAUCGGAUGUGCCCAGAUGGGAUUAGCUAGUAGGUGGGGUAACGGCUCACCUAGGCGACGAUCCCUAGCUGGUCUGAGAGGAUGACCAGCCACACUGGAACUGAGACACGGUCAG